CACAGAAACAAUCCGCGAAUGUGGAUCUCUUCGAUGCGUAUUUCGGACGAGCGGAUUUGGACCGCGAUGGGCGGAUUAGUGGCAAUGAAGCAGUCGCUUUCUUCCAGGGCUCAGGUCUCCCCAAACAGGUCCUUGCGCAGAGGUUUUAAAGCAGGUGUGGGAUUUGUCCGAUCAGGAUAAUGAUAGCAUGCUUUCUGUCAGGGAGUUUUGUGUUGCAGUAUAUUUGAUGGAGCGGUUAGGGAUGCCCUCUUCCAGCAGUGCUACCAAGUAAUGUUAUGUUUGAUUUAUCCAAUAUUUUUCAACCUGAAAAUAAUUACUCCAAUGCUGUCAAUGUAGCCUGCAUCUGGUAUUUAUCAAGAAAACAAAUUAAUAAUUUAUUUAUUUAUUAUUAUUUUUUUAAAACCAUAUGUCUUUCUUUGGUGGAGUAUAGUUUCUUAUUUUUCACUUUAAAAGGAUUUCAACAACAGCGACUGGUGCCUGGUCCUGAUGCUCGGCAUAUGUCUGUCUUUGGAAUUCUUGUGAUUGUGGGUUUUACUUUGUUCUUAAUAUCGCUCAUUUCUGUGGGGAAGAUUUUGAUCAAGAUUUUGAAGUUCAUGAUCAGUUCUUUUAUAUUAGUAAUCUUAAUGAUUGGCACUUCACAUGUUUUUAGUGCAUGGCAUUCAUUAUACUUUUUAUUUUUUAUUUUUUUAUAAGCAUUCAUUAUACUUUAUUGCAGUUUUGUUCCAUUCUCAGCUUGUCUUUCCUCAUCCUUCUGAUGCAAUUCCCUUGGUUGUGCAUAUUGAACAUUCUACAGUAGUUUUAAAUUUUGCGUUUGAAUAUAAUUGUUCUACGAGUGGUAGAGUUUUGGACGUCCUAAUCAUUAGUUGCUUUUAAAUAAUUGGCAGACUUCUAUCUCUUUGAUUUCUGCAGUGUGUAAGAUUAUUUUUAUUUUUUUUUUGAACUAUUGGAUGUUUGUGGUCUGAAUGAGUAUUGAUUCUUGAAUUGACAAGUACUUUUGGGAGGAAGUGCAGAUCAUGUGUUUUAUCAUUGUCCUAUUGCUUUAUAUGUGUGGCUAAGAUUGUGUAGGGAAGGAAAUGUAAGUUGGGUAAUUCCGGCAGGGUACAUAAGUAGUUUGGUGGUGAUAUGAAGGCUUUUGUGAGGGUGCAGUAUGCCAGCAAUUUUUGGAGUUUCUUCGUUUGAGAGAAACACGAGUAUCUUUGAAAACGAUAUUUGGGUGAGGACUAGUUACGGAAUAAAGUUAGAUUUUGUUCACCACGUUGGCUGACCAUUUUCUCAAUUUUAUGAUCCAUAUUAUUUGAUUGGAAAGGUAACUUUUUUUGGAUAUUCUGAUUUAUAUUGAAGGCCCUGUAUGUACAAAGAAAUUGUAUUGUUCAUGUAGUCUAGUUUUUAUUGUUGUCCGUUUUAUGGUGGGGGACAACUUAACCGAAGAGAUUGCAUUUUGUUGAGGAGAUUGGGUAUGCAAUUAAAGCAUUCCUUCUUAUGCACCAUAAUGGUGAUGAAAUAAAGAUCCAAUGGUUGAAGAAGAGAGAGAGAGGGGAAAAGAGGGGGGGGGGGGGGGGGGUAGUGGGCAUGGGAAGAACUUAUCCUGUGUGUAAAUUUAGGGCCACAUUUUUAGAAGAUAAUUAUAUAUUACUGUAGGCUCAGAAUAUUUUAAAAGGCAUUUGACUAAAAAAUGUAAGAAUUUUGUAUCUAGCUACUGGCAUAAGGAAAUGAUGUUUUAAACUUUCAGUUUUUGAAUUCUGAUUCUGCAUAUUUGCUUUAAUCUGUUUACCAUUUGGUAUAAGGAUUUGUACAAGAGCAGAUGUGACAAUCGCCUUACAGAGAUCACAGAAAGGGCCUCUGCUGAUAAAUAUGAGGAGAAGAAAAUGGAGCUAAACAGGGCAGUUGUCAAGAUGGAGCAAGAAGGUGAUUCUGAUGCGCACUUCAGAUCUUGAUGGGCUUGUGAAAACUCUCAAUGAGCACCGCAAGAAUAUGGACUAGGCGGAAAGCCUACAACAUUAACUGAGCUUGCCUUUGGCUUGCAACCUGGCAUCCAAGAAGGAGCUGCUGACUGGGAUGAGGAUUGGGAUAAGUUUGAAGACAAAGGAUUUGCUUUUGUCGAGGAGCUCACUCUUGAUGUGUUAAAUGUCUUGGCGCCUUCAAAACAGAAAUCAUCAUCAGUUCAGAAAGAAAAAGCUCUCCCAGUUGAGAAUCCAACAACUGCUGCUUCACCUGAAGUUGAUGUUAAGACAGAAAAGCCUCAAAGUGCAGAUGCCAACCCUAUCAGGACUGGGUCAUCACAAGGAGGUGCUUUUCCCAGAAGAGCCGCCCUUUUACUUUCAACGAUUUUGUUCCUAUCCUAGGACACCACUCUCAGCCUUCAAUUCAGGAUAUUCACCGCCAAGGUACAAGGAUAGUUUAGAACUUUCAUUCGACACCUUCUCUAGGUUUGAUUCGUUCAGAAGCACACAAGAUACUGGAUUUUUUCCUCAACCAGAAACACUCAGAAGAUUUGAGUCUAUGCGCAGCAAUGGAGAGUUUGAUCAGGGUCAUGGUUUUCCAACAUUUGAUGACAUCCCGGACCCUUUUGGCUCUUCGCUGCCAUUUAAGUCAUCGCUGGACAGUCAAACUCCAAGAAGAGACUUGGACCCCUUUGGAUCUUCAGGGCCAUUUCGGAUCACUCGACGGUCAAACUCCAAGAAAGAAUCAGUUUUUUUUUCAAGUCUUCAGUGCCAUUUUGGACAUCAUUCGACAGUCAUAACUGCUAGAGGAGACUACUCCAUUUAGGACAUGAUUUGACGGUCAAACUCCAAGAAGAGACUUGGACCCAUUUGGGUCUUCAGGGCCUUUCCGGAUGACAAUGGAGACUCCAAGAAAAGACUAAUCGCUGGAGUGCAUUUUAACCGGGUAAUUGUUCUGCUUUGUUUUUGUGUCUGCUAUUCUCCGUUCCAAGCCUUUCUAUCGUGGGUGGGACGGGCCUUGUGUUUUAUGAUUUGAAAUCACUCAACUUAUGUAUCUUUUGUAUUUCAUUUCUUUUUGUAUGCAUCUCGCUUGUUCUUCAUUCUUUUUUUUUUUUUUUUUUUUCCUUUAGCUUGUUGCGCGACGUAUAAUUUUUCUCCUUAAUUUUGGAAUGUUCCUAGUCCUAUUGAAGCAAAGACCCCUUUAGUUUUAUCGUUGUUACAAAUUUGAUGAUUGUAUUAUUAAACCUGUGCCUUUCUUUUUUCGGCCUUAAUUUGCUGUAAUUUUUUUUACCCUCUCUAAUGAACUUUGUUCUACCAAUUUUUGUUUGGUUCAAACAAGAACAGUGUGUUUUGCUGGUGUUAGUCCAAUUGGGCCAUUCAUAUUUUUCGCUCAUUGCAGUUCAGCCAUCGAACUUUCAUGUAUUUUUGUAGUUUCGAAUGUUCAAACUAUCGUGCUUGGUCGUGAGAUAUUUACUUUGCCCUGGGUUUGGCGUAUUAAUUAAUGUCUAAGUUUAUAAUAUAAAGGUGAAUUUCAAGAUGCCGCUAGACUUGAUUAAAGAAAAAAAAAUAUGAUAGUACACACACUUGUCCAUAACCUUGCGCUUUAUAAUGUAUAAACAAUUCUAAAAUAAUAAGAGCCUAGCUGUUUGUCAGUCUUAUUCUUGGACAGACAAGUGAGUGCUGUCCUUGAACUUGCCAUUGUCUUCAGCGCCAUGCAGCCUUCAGCUACAACAUUACAUAGCAUUGGGAGCUCUGGCAAAACUCAACCACAAAACUCAAGCUUGUCGAACUUUGGUGAAGGACAGGUGGGGCAAUGACCGGGAUACCCCUUGGAAGUUGUAAACAAAGGGAUCACUCCUGCAACAAAGGAUGUAUUUGGGCGGGCAACAUCAGGACCAACAGCUUCCCUACCACCUAGACCACAGGCAGGUUCUGGGAUCAGACCUCCAAGACACCGGCUAAGGAUUCCAAACGAUCAAAUAUCUGGGAAUGGCUUUACUCACGACUCAUCUAUUGAAGAUGUUUUGUGCAACCCCAUCUCAACCAAAGCAGAAUUUUCCCCUUGGAAGCAUACCCGUCUCAUCAGCCUUGUGCCAGUAUCUGCUGGGACCCAGUCUUCAGCCAGACUCAGCAGGCCCAGUCAUUUGAAAGAGCAAACCAGUAGGUUCCCAGCUCAGACUAGUGCUACUGGAGUUUCACCUGGAGCUGGGAACUCGGCUUCUAGUCAGUCCCAUAUGUCAUGGCCUAGGAUGACUCAAACUGAUGUUCAAAAGUACACUAAUAUUUUUGUGAAAGUUGACACAGACAGUAUGGGAAAAUCACUGGUGAACAAGCCCGCGGCAUAUUUGUGAAAUGGGGAUUACCAAGAGAGAACAUGUCUUUUUCAACAACAGCAACUGAUGCCUGGUCCUGGUGCUUAACACAUGGCACCCCCAUCUGGAGGAAGGCCACCGAAGCCAGUUGCUCCUUCUCAUGCUAAGGAAAAGCAGCGGCCCAAUCAGCAGAAUGGGAGAUUGCUAGAAUUGGAGAAACAUCUCGUAAAUCAACUGAGUAUAGAGGAGGUUAACUCAGUGAACUAAAAAUUCAAAAAGCAACCGACGCUGAUAAAAGGUACUUCGAACUUUUGUAUUUCAUUUCUGUGUAUGCAUCACUUUUUCUUCAUUCUUUUUUUUUUUUUUUUUUUUUUUUCCAAACGCCUUUAGCUUGUUGCACGACAUAUAAUUUCUCUUCUUAAGUUUGGAAUGUUCCUAGUCCUUUUGAAGCGAAGACCCCUUUAGUUCUAUCGUUAUUACGAAUUUGAUGAUUGUAUAUAUUGUUAAACAGGGGGUGUGCCUUUCUUUUUCGGCCUUAAUUUGCUGUAUUUUUUUACCCUCUAAUAAAAUUUAUUUUGCUGAU